UGGGGAAUUUUGGACAAUGGGCGAAAGCCUGAUCCAGCAAUGCCGCGUGUGUGAAGAAGGCCUUCGGUUGUAAGCACUUUUGUCCGGAAAGAAAUCCUUGGCUCUAAUACAGUCGGGGGAUGACGGUACCGGAAGAAUAAGCACCGGCUAACUACGUGCCAGCAGCCGCGGUAAUACGUAGGGUGCAAGCGUUAAUCGGAAUUACUGGGCGUAAAGCGUGCGCAGGCGGUUUGCUAAGACCGAUGUGAAAUCCCCGGGCUAACCUGGGAACUGCAUUGGUGACUGGCAGGCUAGAGUAUGGCAGAGGGGGGUAGAAUUCCACGUGUGGCAGUGAAAUGCGUAGAGAUGUGGAGGAAUACCGAUGGCGAAGCAGCCCCCUGGGCCAAUACUGACGCUCAUGCACGAAAGCGUGGGGAGCAAACAGGAUUAGAUACCCUGGUAGUCCACGCCCUAAACGAUGUCAACUAGUUGUUGGGGAUUCAUUUCCUUAGUAACGUAGCUAACGCGUGAAGUUGACCGCCUGGGGAGUACGGUCGCAAGAUU
rnacentral:rRNA from 1 species